CAUGUCCACGAUGGUUCCACGGUGGGUACAGAACAGAAAUAAAAAUUGUAAUUGUACUGUCGUAGGAGUGCGAAAGUCGUACGACAAUCGUGAGUUGUUUUGUGCUAUUUUUCAGGUUUUCAUAUCAUGGGAUGCUACUUUCAUACGACUGUCGCACAACAGUCAUGGGUAACUCGCGCGUUUAACUCCGAACUGCUUGUAUAUAAAGAAGGCCCGCGAUUUAUUGCGUCAUUUUCUAUUUGCUUUCAAUAUUGUCCAGUGUCAUUAUAACUUCGGUCAAAAUAAACGACGUUUUUCGUAUAAGUUGAAACUGAUGGAGACGAACGACCCUGCUAAUAAUGUCGUCACUGUGACGGGGGACGGGGAGUAGUCUAUGGACAUUCCCGCCAAAUUACAUUUUUCUGAAUAAAACAAUAAUAUGUUGCACGACGAACUUACCACUGUUGUACGACAAACAAUCAAUUUUGUGCGAGCAUCGUACGAAAUUUGGUAAUCUUGAGACAAUCAUGCGACUGUAUUACGAGUGACUUGCGGCAGUCGUGAGAUUGUUGAACGGCAGUCAAGCGACUGUCGUACGAUUGUUUUUAUUUAAAUGGUUUAUGUUGGUACCCACAACAAUGUGUUUAUUGCACGGCAGUUCAUUUUUUUAAAUUUCCUGUUUCAAAAUUUGAAUUUUUAGAAAAAAAAACUAAGGAUUUUCUUAUCCCAGCCGUAUUUGGCACAACCUAUUUGGAAUUUUGGGUCCUCAAUGCUCUUCAACUUUUUACUUUUUUAAACGAAAUUCAUUUUAGAUUAUCAUUAUUUCAGCUUGACUGUAAACUCCCCCAC
rnacentral:lncRNA from 1 species